GGGGGCGUACCGGUUUCGACGGGGAUACGGAAGUGAAAAUAGCGGGUGGUGGCGUCUGACCACCUUAAAACGGACAUUCUUUAUAAAUUAAAGAACAACGAAAAUUACGCUUACGCUGCUUAAUUAACAGCAGCCGUCUAACCCAGAAGGACCACGGUCUGGGAUUAGGCGUCGUUUUGUGGUGAACGUGCGUCAGCAAAGCUUUGAGCUGACCAUGUACAAUGAAGCUUACCUGACUGACGGGCGUGACGGCUUGCCUGUCAGGAAGGGAACGGGACAGUCACGCUGCCCACAAUAACCGUCUGCACCCGGAGAAGUUUUCAUGGAAGGAUUUUCGGACGGGGGUUCGACUCCCCCCGCCUCCACCA
rnacentral:sRNA from 1 species